rnacentral:rRNA from 1 species
AUGAUGGAGGGAGCAGCUCACGCUGCCAGGCUCCCGACCGAACGCGUCGGGUCCUCUCUCCUCGAGGCCAACCCCUCCUAUUCAUCGCAUCUCUCCCUGACUCCGUCUCCUCCACGAGAUCAAGAUGUAGCACCAACCCACGCCAUGGACGCCCUUGCCAGCUGCAUCUCUCCAUGCGCCGCCACUCCUAUGACACCGCCGCCCGGCAGUCUCCACCAGCACCACGACGGGCGUGGCCUCUGCACGCGCCGUCACCUCCCCUCCAGAUCCGGUCGUCGUCGAGGGCAUAUCCAUCCAGCAGUGCGGCGUCACCUCCCCUCCAGAUCCAGCCAUCGUCAAGGGCGUGUCCAUCCAGCAGCGCGCCGUCAUCCCAAUCAUCACCGUCCACGGCGUCAUCGCCCAGGCCCAGUCAGGGGCCGGCAAGACCUCCAUGAUCUCCCUCUUUGUCUGCCAGGUCAUUGA